rnacentral:rRNA from 1 species
CAGCCGCCGCGGGAAUACGAAGGGGGCUAGCGUUGCUCGGAAUCACUGGGCGUAAAGGGUGCGUAGGCGGGUCUUUAAGUCAGGGGUGAAAUCCUGGAGCUCAACUCCAGAACUGCCUUUGAUACUGAAGAUCUUGAGUUCGGGAGAGGUGAGUGGAACUGCGAGUGUAGGGGUGAAAUUCGUAGAUAUUCGCAAGAACACCAGUGGCGAAGGCGGCUCACUGGCCCGAUACUGACGCUGAGGCACGAAAGCGUGGGGAGCAAACAGGAUUAGAUACCCGUGUAGUCCCUGUCUCUUAUAC